CCAAAGGCUCUUUUAAGAGCCACCCACCUUUUCUCCCUGAAGGGG
rfam:Chlamydotis undulata macqueenii contig81282, whole genome shotgun sequence.